rnacentral:rRNA from 1 species
AAUCUUGGUCAAUGGGGGUAACCCUGAACCAGCGACGCCGCGUGGGGGACGAAGGCCCUUGGGUCGUAAACCCCUUUUGCCGGGGACGAUAAUGACGGUACCCGGCGAAUAAGCCACGGCUAACUACGUGCCAGCAGCCGCGGUAAUACGUAGGUGGCGAGCGUUGUCCGGAUUUACUGGGCGUAAAGCGCGCGUAGGUGGCUGGAAAAGUCCCCCGUGAAAGGUUGCGGCCCAACCGCAACACGGCGGGAGAUACUCUCCGGCUUGAGGGCAGCAGAGGUCGGUGGAAUUCCCGGUGGAGUGGUGAAAUGCGUAGAUAUCGGGAGGAACACCAGAGGCGAAGGCGGCCGACUGGGCUGUCCCUGACGCUGAGGCGCGAAAGCGUGGGGAGCGAA